GGGUUGUGAGGUUAAGCGACUAAGCGUACACGGUGGAUGCCCUGGCAGUCAGAGGCGAUGAAGGGCGUGCUAAUCUGCGAUAAGCGCCGGUAAGGUGAUAUGAACCGUUAUAACCGGCGAUACCCGAAUGGGGAAACCCAGUGUGACUCGUCACACUAUCAUUAACUGAAUCCAUAGGUUAAUGAGGCGAACCGGGGGAACUGAAACAUCUAAGUACCCCGAGGAAAAGAAAUCAACCGAGAUUCCCCCAGUAGCGGCGAGCGAACGGGGAGGAGCCCAGAGCCUGAAUCAGCAUGUGUGUUAGUGGAAGCGUCUGGAAAGGCGCGCGAUACAGGGUGACAGCCCCGUACACAAAAGCGCAUGUGCUGUGAGCUCGAUGAGUAGGGCGGGACACGUGGUAUCCUGUCUGAAUAUGGGGGGACCAUCCUCCAAGGCUAAAUACUCCUGACUGACCGAUAGUGAACCAGUACCGUGAGGGAAAGGCGAAAAGAACCCCGGCGAGGGGAGUGAAAAAGAACCUGAAACCGUGUACGUACAAGCAGUGGGAGCACCCUUUGGGGUGUGACUGCGUACCUUUUGUAUAAUGGGUCAGCGACUUAUAUUCUGUAGCAAGGUUAACCGUAUAGGGGAGCCGUAGGGAAACCGAGUCUUAACCGGGCGUUAAGUUGCAGGGUAUAGACCCGAAACCCGGUGAUCUAGCCAUGGGCAGGUUGAAGGUUGGGUAACACUAACUGGAGGACCGAACCGACUAAUGUUGAAAAAUUAGCGGAUGACCUGUGGCUGGGGGUGAAAGGCCAAUCAAACCGGGAGAUAGCUGGUUCUCCCCGAAAGCUAUUUAGGUAGCGCCUCGUGAAUUCAUCUCCGGGGGUAGAGCACUGUUUCGGCUAGGGGGCCAUCCCGGCUUACCAACCCGAUGCAAACUGCGAAUACCGGAGAAUGUUAUCACGGGAGACACACGGCGGGUGCUAACGUCCGUCGUGAAGAGGGAAACAACCCAGACCGCCAGCUAAGGUCCCAAAGUCAUGGUUAAGUGGGAAACGAUGUGGGAAGGCCCAGACAGCCAGGAUGUUGGCUUAGAAGCAGCCAUCAUUUAAAGAAAGCGUAAUAGCUCACUGGUCGAGUCGGCCUGCGCGGAAGAUGUAACGGGGCUAAACCAUGCACCGAAGCUGCGGCAGCGACACUGUGUGUUGUUGGGUAGGGGAGCGUUCUGUAAGCCUGUGAAGGUGUGUCGUGAGGCAUGCUGGAGGUAUCAGAAGUGCGAAUGCUGACAUAAGUAACGAUAAAGCGGGUGAAAAGCCCGCUCGCCGGAAGACCAAGGGUUCCUGUCCAACGUUAAUCGGGGCAGGGUGAGUCGACCCCUAAGGCGAGGCCGAAAGGCGUAGUCGAUGGGAAACGGGUUAAUAUUCCCGUACUUGGUGUUACUGCGAAGGGGGGACGGAGAAGGCUAUGUUGGCCGGGCGACGGUUGUCCCGGUUUAAGCGUGUAGGUGUGUGUUCCAGGUAAAUCCGGUUCACUUUAACACUGAGGCGUGACGACGAGGCACUACGGUGCUGAAGCAACAAAUGCCCUGCUUCCAGGAAAAGCCUCUAAGCAUCAGGUAACAUCAAAUCGUACCCCAAACCGACACAGGUGGUCAGGUAGAGAAUACCAAGGCGCUUGAGAGAACUCGGGUGAAGGAACUAGGCAAAAUGGUGCCGUAACUUCGGGAGAAGGCACGCUGACACGUAGGUGAAGUGAUUUACUCAUGGAGCUGAAGUCAGUCGAAGAUACCAGCUGGCUGCAACUGUUUAUUAAAAACACAGCACUGUGCAAACACGAAAGUGGACGUAUACGGUGUGACGCCUGCCCGGUGCCGGAAGGUUAAUUGAUGGGGUCAGCGCAAGCGAAGCUCCUGAUCGAAGCCCCGGUAAACGGCGGCCGUAACUAUAACGGUCCUAAGGUAGCGAAAUUCCUUGUCGGGUAAGUUCCGACCUGCACGAAUGGCGUAAUGAUGGCCAGGCUGUCUCCACCCGAGACUCAGUGAAAUUGAACUCGCUGUGAAGAUGCAGUGUACCCGCGGCAAGACGGAAAGACCCCGUGAACCUUUACUAUAGCUUGACACUGAACAUUGAGCCUUGAUGUGUAGGAUAGGUGGGAGGCUUUGAAGUGUGGACGCCAGUCUGCAUGGAGCCGACCUUGAAAUACCACCCUUUAAUGUUUGAUGUUCUAACGUGGACCCGUUACCCGGGUUGCGGACAGUGUCUGGUGGGUAGUUUGACUGGGGCGGUCUCCUCCUAAAGAGUAACGGAGGAGCACGAAGGUUGGCUAAUCCUGGUCGGACAUCAGGAGGUUAGUGCAAUGGCAUAAGCCAGCUUGACUGCGAGCGUGACGGCGCGAGCAGGUGCGAAAGCAGGUCAUAGUGAUCCGGUGGUUCUGAAUGGAAGGGCCAUCGCUCAACGGAUAAAAGGUACUCCGGGGAUAACAGGCUGAUACCGCCCAAGAGUUCAUAUCGACGGCGGUGUUUGGCACCUCGAUGUCGGCUCAUCACAUCCUGGGGCUGAAGUAGGUCCCAAGGGUAUGGCUGUUCGCCAUUUAAAGUGGUACGCGAGCUGGGUUUAGAACGUCGUGAGACAGUUCGGUCCCUAUCUGCCGUGGGCGCUGGAGAACUGAGGGGGGCUGCUCCUAGUACGAGAGGACCGGAGUGGACGCAUCACUGGUGUUCGGGUUGUCAUGCCAAUGGCACUGCCCGGUAGCUAAAUGCGGAAGAGAUAAGUGCUGAAAGCAUCUAAGCACGAAACUUGCCCCGAGAUGAGUUCUCCCUGAGACUUAGAGUCUCCUGAAGGAACGUUGAAGACGACGACGUUGAUAGGCCGGGUGUGUAAGCGCAGCGAUGCGUUGAGCUAACCGGUACUAAUGAACCGUGAGGCUUAACCUUACAACGCCGAAG
rnacentral:rRNA from 2 species